AGAGUUUGAUCCUGGCUCAGGAUGAACGCUGACAGAAUGCUUAACACAUGCAAGUCAACUUGAAUUUGGGUUUUUAACUUAGAUUUGGGUGGCGGACGGGUGAGUAACGCGUAAAGAACUUGCCUCACAGCUAGGGACAACAUUUAGAAAUGAAUGCUAAUACCUGAUAUUAUGAUUUUAAGGCAUCUUAGAAUUAUGAAAGCUAUAAGCACUGUGAGAGAGCUUUGCGUCCCAUUAGCUAGUUGGAGAGGUAACAGCUCACCAAGGCGAUGAUGGGUAGCCGGCCUGAGAGGGUGAACGGCCACAAGGGGACUGAGACACGGCCCUUACUCCUACGGGAGGCAGCAGUGGGGAAUAUUGGACAAUGGACCGAGAGUCUGAUCCAGCAAUUCUGUGUGCACGAUGAAGUUUUUCGGAAUGUAAAGUGCUUUCAGUUGGGAAGAAAAAAAUGACGGUACCAACAGAAGAAGUGACGGCUAAAUACGUGCCAGCAGCCGCGGUAAUACGUAUGUCACGAGCGUUAUCCGGAUUUAUUGGGCGUAAAGCGCGUCUAGGUGGUUAUGUAAGUCUGAUGUGAAAAUGCAGGGCUCAACUCUGUAUUGCGUUGGAAACUGUAUAACUAGAGUACUGGAGAGGUAAGCGGAACUACAAGUGUAGAGGUGAAAUUCGUAGAUAUUUGUAGGAAUGCCGAUGGGGAAGCCAGCUUACUGGACAGAUACUGACGCUAAAGCGCGAAAGCGUGGGUAGCAAACAGGAUUAGAUACCCUGGUAGUCCACGCUGUAAACGAUGAUUACUAGGUGUUGGGGGUCGAACCUCAGCGCCCAAGCAAACGCGAUAAGUAAUCCGCCUGGGGAGUACGUACGCAAGUAUGAAACUCAAAGGAAUUGACGGGGACCCGCACAA
rnacentral:rRNA from 1 species